CACGUAGGGCGCGAGCGUUGUCCGGAAUUAUUGGGCGUAAAGAGCUCGUAGGCGGCCUGUUGCGUCCGCUGUGAAGGCCCGGGGCUUAACCCCGGGUCGGCAGUGGAUACGGGCAGGCUAGAGGUAGGUAGGGGAGAACGGAAUUCCCGGUGUAGCGGUGAAAUGCGCAGAUAUCGGGAGGAACACCGGUGGCGAAGGCGGUUCUCUGGGCCUGUACUGACGCUGAGGAGCGAAAGCGUGGGGAGCGAACAGG
rnacentral:rRNA from 1 species